UUUCCGUAGGUGAACCUGCGGAAGGAUCAUUAUUGAGUAACCGAUGUGCGAGCGCCCUCCCUGACCUGACCGGCCGUGCAUGCAGGUAAGACCUCCCCGACAUACAUGUCACCCUCAUUUGUACCACCGCGUGCGUCCCUCUCUGGCUAGUUUGCAGCGGGGCGUACGAUCUUACACAAACCUUGUUUGCAGCGUACAAUGCAUGUUUUGUUUUUACGAACAGGCAAUCAAUACAACAUUCAACAACGGAUCUCUUGGCUCACGAAUCGCUGCACAAAA
rnacentral:misc_RNA from 1 species